UGAGCUUCAGAAAGCAAAAUCAAGGGAUUGCACCAUGGCCUGGACCCCUCUCCUCCUUGGAGUCCUGGCUCAUUGCACAGGAUCCAUGGCCUCGUAUGUGCUGACUCAAACACCCUCACUAUCGGUGAACCUGGGACAGACGGCCAAGAUCACAUGUGGAGGCAACAACAUUGGAGGUAAAAAUGCUUACUGGUACCAGCAGAAGCCAGGACAGGCCCCUGUGCUGAUUAUCUAUGAAGAUAGCAAAAGGCCCUCAGGGAUCCCUGACCGAUUCUCAGGCACCAAUUCGGGGAACACAGCCACCCUGACCAUCAGCGGGGCCCGUGCUGAGGACGAGGCUGACUAUUACUGUCAGGUGUGGGACAGCAGUGCUAAUGCUCACAGUGACACAGGCAGAUAG